CCUACGGGGCGCAGCAGUGGGGAAUAUUGCACAAUGGGGGGAACCCUGAUGCAGCAAUGCCGCGUGAAGGAUGAAGGUUUUCGGAUUGUAAACUUCUUUUGUACGGGACGAAGAAAGUGACGGUACCGUAAGAAUAAGCCACGGCUAACUACGUGCCAGCAGCCGCGGUAAUACGUAGGUGGCAAGCGUUGUCCGGAUUUACUGUGUGUAAAGGGCGUGCAGCCGGAGAGACAAGUCAGAUGUGAAAUCCGCGGGCUCAACCCGCGAACUGCAUUUGAAACUGUUUCCCUUGAGUAUCGGAGAGG
rnacentral:rRNA from 1 species